GACGAACGCUGGCGGCGUGCCUAAUACAUGCAAGUCGAACGCAGUGGGGACGGGUGAGUAACACGUGGGUAACCUCCCGUAAAAGGGGAUAACAAUUGGAAACAGGUGCUAAACCGAUACUGAUGGAUGGACCCGCGGUGGAUUAGCUAGUUGGUGAGGUAACGGCUAACCAAGGCCACGAUGCAUAGCCUACCUGAGAGGGUGAGCGGCCAAACUGGGACUGAGACACGGCCCAGACUCCUACGGGAGGCAGCAGUAGGGAAGAUUUGGCAAUGGACGAAAGUCGGAUCGAGCCACGCCGCGUGAGUGAAGAAGGUCUUCGGAUUGUAAAACUCUGUUGUUAGAGAAGCGGUAUCCAACCAGAAAGCCACGGCUAACUACGUGCCAGCAGCCGCGGUAAUUC
rnacentral:rRNA from 1 species